rnacentral:rRNA from 1 species
UACGGGGGGGGCAAGCGUUGUUCGGAAUUACUGGGCGUAAAGGGCGCGUAGGCGGUUCGCUAAGUUGGAUGUGAAAACUCUGGGCUUAACCCAGAGCCUGCAUCCAAAACUGGCGAACUUGAGUACUGGAGGGGAAAGCGGAAUUCCUGGUGUAGCGGUGAAAUGCGUAGAUAUCGGAAGGAACAUCAGUGGCGAAAGCGGCUUCCUGGACCAGUACCGACGUUCAGGCACGAAAGCGUGGGGAGCAAACAGG